rnacentral:rRNA from 1 species
CCUACGGGGGGCAGCAGUCGAGGAUCUUCGGCAAUGGGCGCAAGCCUGACCGAGCGACGCCGCGUGCGGGAUGAAGGCCUUCGGGUUGUAAACCGCUGUCAGGGGGGAUGAAAUCAUGGUGGGUACUCCCAUCAUGUUGACAGAGCCCCAGAGGAAGCGCGGGCUAAGUUCGUGCCAGCAGCCGCGGUAAUACGAACUGCGCGAAUCUUAUUCGGUAUCACUGGGGUUGCAGGGAGCGUAGGUGGCAUCGGAAAUGCCUUGGCUCAACCAAGGCACAGCGCUCUAAACUACUGUGCUUGAGUGAGUCAGGGGUGCACGGAACUUCCGGUGGAGCGGUGAAAUGUGUUGAUAUCGGAAGGAACACCGGCGGCGAAAGCGGUGCACUGGGGCUUAACUGACACUGAGGCACGAAAGCCAGGGGAGCGAACGGGAUUAGAUACCCCAGUAGUC